UAUCAUCAUCCACCUCCAUCUUCCCAAGAUUAUCAUCAUCCACCACCAUCCCAGGAUUAUCACCGUCCACCAUCUUCCCAAGAUUACCAUCCUCCACCACCUUCCCAAGAUUAUCAUUCUCCACCACCUUCCCAGGAGUACCAUCCUCCACCACCUUCCCAAGAUUAUCAACCUCCUCCACCUUCCCAAGAUUUCCAUCAUCCUCCACCUGCUAGAUCAGACAGUUCUUAUUCUGAGCCCUACAACCACCAGCAAUACUCACCAGAUCAGUCACAGAACUUAGGUCCUAAUUACCCUUCUCAUGAAACUCCCUCUUCUUACUCUCUUCCCCAUUUUCAAUCUUAUCCAAGUUU
rnacentral:lncRNA from 1 species